UUUAAAUGCUCACUGUAGGUCUCAGUGAAUCUGAACUGUUUUCAUGCACUCACACCUAAAACUGCAUCAGGAUGAUGUUGCCAGUAGCUCUGCUUGUCAUGUUGGGUUUCCUGAGUCAGGAGUCUUCUGCCAACAAAUUUCUGACUCAGCCUGACAAAUCCAAGUCUGUGAGUCUUGGAGGGACUGUGUCCAUCAGCGCGACAGGGAGUUCAGAUAUCAGUGAUGAUCUCAGCUGGUACCUUCAGAAACCCGGACAGGCUGCCAAACUUCUGAUAUACCAAGCAUCAACUCUAAACUCAGGAACUCCAUCCAGAUUCAGAGGCAGUAGAUCUGGUUCCAGCUACACCUUAACCAUCAGUGGUGUUGAGGCUGAAGAUGCUGGAGAUUACUACUGUCUUGGCUAUCAUGUGGGCUACGCAACCACACGGUGAUUUAGAGUCGUACAAAAACCUCCCUCAGUUUGUGUGCAUUGAAAACGGCCUGCUGCAGGUGCUGAGUCUGAGGGAAGAGACUGUGAUGUGGAGAACUGGU